AAUAGAUACCCUGGUAGUCCACGCCGUAAACGAUGAGUGCUAAGUGUUAGAGGGCUUCCACCCUUUAGUGCUGCAGCUAACGCAUUAAGCACUCCGCCUGGGGAGUACGGCCGCAAGGCUGAAACUCAAAGGAAUUGACGGGGGCCCGCACAAGCGGUGGAGCAUGUGGUUUAAUUCGAAGCAACGCGAAGAACCUUACCAGGUCUUGACAUCCUUCGCUACCUCUAGAGAUAGAGGGUUCCCCUUCGGGGGACGGAGUGACAGGUGGUGCAUGAUUGUCGUCAGCUCGUGUCGUGAGAUGUUGGGUUAAGUCCCGCAACGAGCGCAACCCUUGACCUUAGUUGCCAGCAUUCAGUUGGGCACUCUAAGGUGACUGCCGGUGACAAACCGGAGGAAGGUGGGGAUGACGUCAAAUCAUCAUGCCCCUUAUGACCUGGGCUACACACGUGCUACAAUGGAUGGUACAAAGGGUCGCGAAACCGCGAGGUGGAGCUAAUCCAAAAAACCAUUCUCAGUUCGGAUUGCAGG
rnacentral:rRNA from 1 species